CGGGUGGAGUUGAACUGCAAGCUCUGGGAAUUCAGCUGAUGAGUGUGAUUUGUACUUGGGCAUACUGGCCGCCUUCAGUGUCUGUUUAACCGCAGGUGCCUUCCUUUUUGGUGGGUAUGUGUGAAUCGUUUGCUUACGACGCGCGCACUGUUGGUGUGAGGGUCUGCUUGUCAGUGCACUUUCUCAGGGUGUUCACCACGACCGGCACUGCUGCCUGUCUGCUAUGGUCAAACUGAUCAGGUCUGAUUUCUGUCAGUCUUGGUUGGGUCGGUAGGUGGCUCUUUGGCUCAUUUAUGGGCCGUGAGUGUUACUAACUGGCUGUAGUGGAUCUGUGCGGUGUGUCGGAGAUGGCGGCUUCGCAUGCGUGCUUAGACUUCGGGCAUUGCUGAGUGUGGUCGGUUUGUUACUAGCUUCGGCUGGUCGGCUGAUGGCUUGGUUUUGUCACGUCGGCGGUUGCGUGUGUGGUUUGCAUUGGGCCAAUAGUCUGUGGUGUAGUGGUAGACGAUCCACCUGA
rnacentral:rRNA from 1 species